GACGAACGCUGGCGGCGUGCUUAACACAUGCAAGUCGAGCGGAAAGGCCACUUCGGUGGUACUCGAGCGGCGAACGGGUGAGUAACACGUGAGUAAUCUGCCCUUGGCUUUGGGAUAGCCACCGGAAACGGUGAUUAAUACCGGAUACGACCACUCCAGGCAUCUGGUGGUGGUGGAAAGUUUUUCGGCCAGGGAUGUGCUCGCGGCCUAUCAGCUUGAUGGUGAGGUAAUGGCUCACCAUGGCUUCGACGGGUAGCCGGCCUGAGAGGGUGACCGGUCACACUGGGACUGAGACACGGCCCAGACUCCUACGGGAGGCAGCAGUGGGGAAUAUUGGACAAUGGGCAGAAGCCUGAUCCAGCAACGCCGCGUGAGGGAUGACGGCCUUCGGGUUGUAAACCUCUUUCGGUAGGGACGAAGCGCAAGUGACGGUACCUACUAAAGAAGCACCGGCCAACUACGUG
rnacentral:rRNA from 1 species